UUCUCGCCGGCGACCGGCGCACGGGUGAGUAACACGUAUGCAACCUGCCCCUGUCAGGGGGACAACCCGCCGAAAGGCGGGCUAAACCCGCGUACAUGCCACCGGGGCAUCCCGGAGGCAGGAAAGGCUUCGGCCGGACAGGGAUGGGCAUGCGGCGCAUUAGGCAGUAGGCGGGGUAACGGCCCACCUAACCGACGAUGCGUAGGGGUUCUGAGAGGAAGGUCCCCCACACUGGUACUGAGACACGGACCAGACUCCUACGGAAGGCAGCAG
rnacentral:rRNA from 1 species